rnacentral:lncRNA from 10 species
CUUUUUGCUUUUUGGAAUGCUGACAAGGGCCUGUGGGUCUGUUCCAUCAUGGAAUCAGGAUGAAAAGACAGAAUUGGAGUCCUCAAAGCAACCCCAGUCUAGUAGGACAGAGAUGUCAACACCGCAUUAGAGCAUCAUUCAACAAGGGCAGUUUCUGAUGCCUCAUGGGCACCUACUAAGUGCCAAGCUUCGUCCACUCCUCAAAGGCAGGUUGGCUGAUCCUAUUAGCCAAUGGAAACCCUGAGUCUAGAGAACUUCAUAAUGCAGGUCAUGCAGCAGGAAGUGGCAAAGCAGGAUAGCAGAUCCAGGUCUGUUCAACCUUUGCAG